UAGAGAUUGGUUGGGUAAAACCUUCCAAAACUCCCACCCUAUGUUUACAUUACCUUUGUUGCUUUGGCAGGCCCGUCUUCGGACCGCCGGCUUCGGCUAGCCAGUGCCUGCCAGAGGACCUAAAACUCUGUUUAAUUGUAUUGUCUGAGUACUAUAUAAUAGUUA
rnacentral:misc_RNA from 2 species